GCCGGGUGUGGUGGCUCAUGCCUGUAAUCCCAGCACUUUGGGAGGCCGAGCGGGCAGAUCACUUGAGGUCAAGAGUUCGAGGCCAGCCUGGUCAACAUGGUGAAACCCCAUCUCUACUAAAAAUAAAAAAAAUUAGCCGGGCGUGGUGGUGUGCGCCUAUAGUCCCAGCUAUAGUCCCACCACCAGGCCCGGCUAAUUUUUUGUAUUUUUAGUAGAGACGGGGUUUCACCGUGUUAGCCAGGAUGGUCUCGAUCUCCUGACCUCGUGAUCCGCCCGC
rnacentral:lncRNA from 10 species